GGGNGGCUUGCUAUAAUGCAAGUCGAGCGGACAGAUGGGAGCUUGCUCCCUGAUGUUACCGGCGGACGGGUGAGUAACACGUGGGUAACCUGCCUGUAAGACUGGGAUAACUCCGGGAAACCGGGGCUAAUACCGGAUGGUUGUUUGAACCGCAUGGUUCAGACAUAAAAGGUGGCUUCGGCUACCACUUACAGAUGGACCCGCGGCGCAUUAGCUAGUUGGUGAGGUAACGGCUCACCAAGGCGACGAUGCGUAGCCGACCUGAGAGGGUGAUCGGCCACACUGGGACUGAGACACGGCCCAGACUCCUACGGGAGGCAGCAGUAGGGAAUCUUCCGCAAUGGACGAAAGUCUGACGGAGCAACGCCGCGUGAGUGAUGAAGGUUUUCGGAUCGUAAAGCUCUGUUGUUAGGGAAGAACAAGUGCCGUUCAAAUAGGGCGGCACCUUGACGGUACCUAACCAGAAAGCCACGGCUAACUACGUGCCAGCAGCCGCGGUAAUACGUAGGUGGCAAGCGUUGUCCGGAAUUAUUGGGCGUAAAGGGCUCGCAGGCGGUUUCUUAAGUCUGAUGUGAAAGCCCCCGGCUCAACCCGGGGAGGGUCAUUGGAAACUGGGGAACUUGAGUGCAGAAGAGGAGAGUGGAAUUCCACGUGUAGCGGUGAAAUGCGUAGAGAUGUGGAGGAACACCAGUGGCGAAGGCGACUCUCUGGUCUGUAACUGACGCUGAGGAGCGAAAGCGUGGGGAGCGAACAGGAUUAGAUACCCUGGUAGUCCACGCCGUAAACGAUGAGUGCUAAGUGUUAGGGGGUUUCCGCCCCUUAGUGCUGCAGCUAACGCAUUAAGCACUCCGCCUGGGGAGUACGGUCGCAAGACUGAAACUCAAAGGAAUUGACGGGGGCCCGCACAAGCGGUGGAGCAUGUGGUUUAAUUCGAAGCAACGCGAAGAACCUUACCAGGUCUUGACAUCCUCUGACAAUCCUAGAGAUAGGACGUCCCCUUCGGGGGCAGAGUGACAGGUGGUGCAUGGUUGUCGUCAGCUCGUGUCGUGAGAUGUUGGGUUAAGUCCCGCAACGAGCGCAACCCUUGAUCUUAGUUGCCAGCAUUC
rnacentral:rRNA from 2 species